UACGGAGGGUGCAAGCGUUAUCCGGAUUCACUGGGUUUAAAGGGUGCGUAGGUGGGAAAGUAAGUCAGUGGUGAAAUCUCCGUGCUUAACUCGGAAACUGCCAUUGAUACUAUAGAUCUUGAAUACCGUGGAGGUGAGCGGAAUAUGUCAUGUAGCGGUGAAAUGCUUAGAUAUGACAUAGAACACCAAUUGCGAAGGCAGCUCACUACACGCAUAUUGACUCUGAGGCACGAAAGCGUGGGGAUCAAACAGG
rnacentral:rRNA from 1 species